CUCGGGUGUCUUCGCAGAGACAGAUGAGGUGGGCUGGCGAUUCCCUAGCCUCAGAUGGCUCUGCCACCAGCCAGCUCUGUGAUCCUGGCCGAUGGGGUGCCAGGCAUUAGAAACCUUCCCUCCAAUCCUCACCAUGUCUCCAUUUUGCCAAAGAAGAAACUGAGGUUAAGGUCGCGAUGCUCUGGCCAGCAUCACAGGGCAGCAGAGUGGAAGCCAGGGCCUGGGACCCUCUGGCUGGGCAAGGAGGGACUGGAGUCCGGCUCCCGGUGACCCCGUCCCCAGUGCCAGCGGUGGGGUCGCCUGUGGCGGCCCGGACAGGCCACGGGUCCCUCUCCCCAAGUCCCAUUACGUUGUAUUUAUGUUUCAUUUUAUAGUUUUUUUUUCCUCCUCCCUUAUUAUUGUCUCACUCUGGGGGAGGCAAAGGAUAUAAUAUAUUCAUCUUUAUUAUACCAAAUCUGUGUGAAGCAUUUAAUAAAACGCUGUUUCCACA
rnacentral:lncRNA from 1 species